CCCUGCCAUUUGUACACACCGCCCGUCGCUCCUACCGAUUGAAUGUUAAGGCGAACACUCUGGAAUCGCGGAUCGGUUUAGGCAACUUUACCGAACCAACGGUGAAGCUGUGUAAGCCUUGACAUUUA
rnacentral:rRNA from 1 species